rnacentral:piRNA from 1 species
UCAGAAACAAAUGAGAAAAAA